ensembl:lncRNA
ACCUAAGCAUUGGCAGUAGAGGUUAAUGCAAGUUUUGAAGAGUUUGAGAGCCUUUGGAGAACACCACUGCUGCGGGCAUGGAAAAGUGCAUGCUUUCUGGAGAAGCACUGGUCUUUCCCUUUGGGGCAGCAGGGAGGGAGGUGUGGGCCACCCUAGCAAGUGCCCUCUGUGGUUUGGAAACCUGAAGGAACCACCUUGCCUGGCUGUGGGGCUGCAGCACACCCUGGGGUAUGCUGAGAGCUACACGAAAGCUGGAAAUGAAGACAUUCUUGGGGUUGGAUGUCUAGACAGAAGAGAUUUCAGUGCUCAGCUUGACCAAGUUCUGCUCAGUUAUGGCAACAUGAGAGAGAUUGAGUUACAAGCAAGAACGGAUGAAAUCCAGGGCGUUCCCUGCAAGCCAGAAUUUCCUGUACAAACACUAUUGACCAUAUUUUUGGAGGAGUGUGUAAAAACUGUUGAUGUCCACAGUAAUUAUAGUGUGUCAGAAAAAUUAACAUUUGCAAUUCCCCAUAUCCUGAGCAAGAAAGCAGCAGUAAUCAUACAGACUGAAGUACAGUUAAAAUAAACACCGGCCAUCCAAGAGGAAACUGUUCCUUCUGCUAAGUUUGAGUUUUCUGAAAUUAAUAGCUAUUUGGAUUUUAAGUCUCACCUAAUUUAUGUUCAAAAAGGUAUAUGUCUGACAUUAUUGUUGCUUCCAGGCCUGUAACUUUGGCUUUGCCAUGAAGAGUCCAUGGUGAUAAUGGGGUUUUGCACAGCUGUGCGAUUCUCAUUUGAAGGUUUAGACUCAGAAUGUAUGAGAUCACACCUAAUAGCUAUCUGAGUGGAAAUCAUGGCUUGAUUUGCAUUUUCUGUUUACUUUGUUUUGCUGAAGGGACAAUAUGUGGGGCUGACUUCAGAACUGAGGAGAAGGAAGUAUUGGGACAUUUCACUUGAAUCCAUCAUCUAUUUCACUGAGAACCCUUUGCCUAUAAAGGUUUGAACAAAUGCAAAAGAGUAACUCGUACUAAAACCAAUCCAGAAAUACAAGCUGAAGUCAUUAGAUACAUUUUAAAAAACAUCAAAAGAUGUAUACUGCACAUACCCAUUUUACUAAGACUGCUCCUCCAUCAGAGGCUUUUUUUCCUCUGUAAGUUACUUUGUGCACCUCAGCUACAAUGAGACCAAAUCCUGCUCCCGUCAUGUCCCAGCAAGCAAACACAUUGACAUGGGAACAAGUAAAGCCUGAAAAGUUUGAAGUGCUGUUUCAGUUUUGGCUGAGCAUCCAAAAGCCGUGUGUCCUAAACUGCCUCAUCCCCUGAGGUCUGACAAACUGAUCCCUUUCCUGCCAGCAGUCUCCUUCUGAAAGAAACAACACCCACUUGGAUGGGUGAAUGCCCAACUCGUUUCAGAAAAGUGC